rnacentral:rRNA from 1 species
AGAGUUUGAUCCUGGCUCAGGAUGAACGCUGGCGGCGUGCCUAACACAUGCAAGUCGAGCGAUCUCUUCGGAGAGAGCGGCGGACGGGUGAGUAACGCGUGGGUAACCUGCCCUGUACACACGGAUAACAUACCGAAAGGUAUACUAAUACGGGAUAACAUAUGAAAGUCGCAUGGCUUUUGUAUCAAAGCUCCGGCGGUACAGGAUGGACCCGCGUCUGAUUAGCUAGUUGGUAAGGUAAUGGCUUACCAAGGCAACGAUCAGUAGCCGACCUGAGAGGGUGAUCGGCCACACUGGAACUGAGACACGGUCCAGACUCCUACGGGAGGCAGCAGUGGGGAAUAUUGCACAAUGGGCGAAAGCCUGAUGCAGCAACGCCGCGUGAGCGAUGAAGGCCUUCGGGUCGUAAAGCUCUGUCCUCAAGGAAGAUAAUGACGGUACUUGAGGAGGAAGCCCCGGCUAACUACGUGCCAGCAGCCGCGGUAAUACGUAGGGGGCUAGCGUUAUCCGGAAUUACUGGGCGUAAAGGGUGCGUAGGUGGUUUUUUAAGUCAGAAGUGAAAGGCUACGGCUCAACCGUAGUAAGCUUUUGAAACUAGAGAACUUGAGUGCAGGAGAGGAGAGUAGAAUUCCUAGUGUAGCGGUGAAAUGCGUAGAUAUUAGGAGGAAUACCAGUAGCGAAGGCGGCUCUCUGGACUGUAACUGACACUGAGGCACGAAA